AAAUGAUUCCUGUCACGUAGCCAAAGGGGGCAUAUUUACAUGGCUCCACAUGAUGUGACGAGGAAAUCCUGUUGCGGAGAAUUCAGGAGGAAAACAAGUAGGUUGCCUGUUCUGCCCCUCUUUUUUGGAAGUCCUGCCUCUGCUCCUGUACAGGUUUGCUUCCUGAAUUGCCACUUCUGUGAAUUUAUCAGUACAGAUGUCUUUGUUUCUCAAUUUUCUUUCUCCAUUUUUGAACAUGGAGGUUUCCAGGACAUUAUUCUCCUUCCUAGUAUCUUGCCAUAUAUUGAUUGUGUCGUUGUCUGCUACGGAUUUUUGCUUUGCAGAUUUUGCUUGUAGUACUCCUAUUUUUUUGUUCCUCCACUGAUCAUCUCUAAGCUCUGCACCAAAGUAAGGAAACACUGUACGGGGGGGGCAGAGAGAGCCAGGAUCUAAAUGGGGAGCAGGAUGAAGCUCCAACACCUCCCUUUACUCUGUAGUGGGAGACACGUGAUGGGCACCACUGGGAAUAGUGUGUGUGCAUAUGGGAGACGGUCUGGAGCCUCCCUGGUAAAUCCAUUUCUGAAUCACCGCUCACGUGGCACAGGCAACGAGUACUGCACCUUGUUUUUCCUGCUACAGCGGCUGAGGUGAAGAAGAUGUCCUCCACGCUGCAGAGAGGAGCAUCCCUGCAGGCUCCGUGCCCCAGGCCGGUGCAGAAGUCACGCCAGCUGCUUUUGACAAAAGAGUUGCUGAGCAACUCUAAAAUAGCCUGAAGUGGGUCAUUUAACAAGAAAAUAGAGCAAACCCUCUGAAGAAACCUCCCUCAGCUGCAGGGACAGCCAUGCUCCUCCGCUCCAGCCCACCCAGUCAGCCCCCAGCAGGCUCCCGCAACCCCUAUAUUAUAUUGUCUAUAUAUCUUCUAUAUGUCCUUGCUCUCCAGAACAAGACUGACUGCCUGAGAGGACUCCCUCACUCCCAGGAAUGCCAGUGUAAUGGUCGUGCUCAGAAGAGGACUUCACCAUGACUAGGAUCCUUGCCAAAGGCCAGCAGAGGAAGAGGAGGGUGGUGAGGAUGGGGACAGAGCAUUUGAUAGUAGGUGGCACUUACCACUGGCGGCAGUGGCGUGGGGCAGCGUGGUAGGUACAUGUCCUGGUUUUGGCUGGGAUAGAGUGAAUUUUCUUCCUAGUAGCUGGUAUGGGGCUGUGUUUUGGAUUUAGGUGGAGAAUACCAGGACUGUACAACACAGUAUUUUGUAUCUGGCUAAAAACCAUGGAUGUUAGGCUUGUCCCUACAUGAGUAUUCAUGCAUCUGGGCUAUGAGCAGGGCUGGUGUCUGUUUAAGGUGGCCAGCUGGCUAGAAUAAGCUCUGAUGACUUUUACUUUCUUUAGGAAUGGGGAUGGGAAGGAAAGGAAAACAAGGAGCUGCCCGGGAACAAGAUUAGAGUCAGACUCACACGCUUGUGGGAUGCCAGCCAGUGAGGUACGUUGUUACUGUCUAGAGCUUUUCCAGCUCCCCUGAAACCGGCUGCCAGGGAGAUUUUGUCAGCUGAUAAUCACCAGGAAUGGAGAAGAGCUCCGGAUGGAGAAGGGAGGGGAGACGCUGUACGUGCGAGGCAAGAAGCUGGGGGGAGUCCAGCC